AUGGCCUCCGCGGGUGAGGGAAAAAUGAAGGGUUGCCGCCCCAAACUUUUCGGUGCAAAGGAGAAGAAAUCUGCAAAGAGGACCGACAGUCCAAGCUGCAAUGCAGCAGCUGAGCUUGGACCAAGUCCUUCUAAGACAGUAUCCGCUUCCCCCUUGAGAACACUUUCAGGAGUUAAGAGCAUACGUCUCAGCCAUUUCCUGGCCCAACCUUCUUCUAUUAAUAGAACAACUGAGCCCAUCAGAAUUUUUGUCUCUACCUGGAACGUCGGUGGGAAAGCACCUACUGCUGAACUGAACAUGGAUGAUUUUGUUCCACCUCAUGAUCAUUCAGAUAUUUAUGUGUUGGGUUUUCAGGAAAUUGUUCCUCUCAAUGCUGGUAAUGUGCUUGUGAUAGAAGACAAUGAACCAGCUGCAAGGUGGCUUGUUCUUAUAAACCAAGCACUAAACCGGCCAGCUCAUAAUGAUACCAAUGUCUUUCAGCGUCCGACAUCUCCAUCUGUCGAUUCUACUUCAUCUCGAGCUUCUUCAAGCCUCGACACUUCAUUCUCUGAAUUAACAAAAACAGCAAGUGGUUCCGCAAUCUUCCAGAAAUCUUCCCUCAAAGCCAUUAGAAAACCUUUCAUGCCAAUGCAGAGAAAACGGCUUAAGGCCUGCAACUGCCCAGCAGAAAUGAUCAAAUCAUCGUACAGGGAUGCUUGCUUUCGGCGCCCGAAAAAACAUGCUGACGAGACUGAUUCCUCGGGAGAGGAAGAGAAAGAGAACACGAGGGAUUCUUGCGGCUCUGUGCUAAGUGAAGUAACUUCCGCUCCCACCGCAAGGGAUAAGCUAAAAUAUAACCUCAUAGUAUGCAAACAAAUGGUUGGUAUUUUUGUCACUGUGUGGGUAAAGAAAGAACUAGUGCAACACAUCGGCCAUCUAAGAACGUCUUGCAUAGGGCGAGGAAUUCUUGGCUGUCUUGGAAACAAGGGAUGUAUAUCAGUAAGCAUGACAGUGCACCAGACAAGCUUUUGUUUCAUCUGCAGCCAUUUGGCUUCAGGUCAGAAAGAAGGGGACGAAUUCAGAAGAAACUCUGAUGUUCUAGAGAUAAUGCGGCUCACACUGUUUUCGAGGCUUUGCAGGAGAAUUGGGCGAAGAAUUCCUGAGAAAAUUCUUGAGCAUGAUAAGGUAAUAUGGUUUGGGGAUUUGAACUACCGUAUUGCACUGAGCUAUGAAGAUACGAAAAGGCUUUUGACGGAAAAUAAUUGGGAUGCCCUUUUCGAAAAGGAUCAGCUAAAAAUUGAACGAGAUGCUGGACGAGUGUUCAGGGGAUGGAAUGAGGGGAAGAUAUAUUUUGCUCCCACAUACAAGUACUCCUCUAACUCGGAUGCGUAUGCUGGUGAGACUGCAACAUCAAACAAAAAGAGGAGAACGCCAGCAUGGUGUGAUAGAAUAUUGUGGCAAGGAGACGGCACUUCACAGUUGUCCUACUACCGUGGAGAGUCCCGAUUUUCAGAUCAUCGUCCUGUCUGUGGAACCUUCAUUGUCGAGGUUGAGGCACUAAACAGAAAGACAAAGAGGUGUUCAUCUAAUGCUGACAUGAAAAUCGGUGCUGAAGAACUUUUACCAACGGACAAGAAUAAGGGUAAAGAAGAACCGGCACACUGGGAUUCGUCGUGUGCCUCUCCAACACCUCCAGAUCAGAGUUCCACACCAUGGUGGCGGCGAUGCUGUUAUCUGAGCAACCAUGAUGUUCCUGCUGAGGCAUGA
rnacentral:rRNA from 1 species